UACAGAGGGUGCAAGCGUUUAAUCGGAAUUACUGGGCGUAAAGCGCGUGUAGGCGGUUUGUCGCGUCUGCUGUGAAAAUCCGGGGCUCAACCCCGGACUUGCAGUGGGUACGGGCGAGACUAGAGUGUGGUAGGGGAGACUGGAAGUUCCUGGUGUAGCGGUGAAAUGACGCAGAUAUCAGGAGGAACACCGAUGGCGAAGGCAGGUCUCUGGGCCGAUACUGACGCUGGAGGAGC
rnacentral:rRNA from 1 species